GGGGCCAUAGCUCAGCUGGGAGAGCGUUACAAUGGCAUUGUAAAGGUCGUCGGUUCGAUCCCGUCUGGCUCCACCA
rnacentral:tRNA from 1 species